rnacentral:lncRNA from 1 species
GUUCGGAGCGCGGUCCAGCCAGAGUGCCUACGAGACACGGUUCCGCGGAUAUUAGUGUUAUGCAUCAAAAAAUGAAUUGGGAAGCAUCUCAUCUCUAACUACAGCAAGAAAUAGUAGUCCUGGUCCCUGAACUACCCAGGAACCAGUCAGAAGUUGUGAAGACUACUGUGAUUAAUGGAGAACAUAAUGAAAUAUCCCAUCUCCCACUGCCUUUAAAGGUAUUAGUGUUUGCUCCAACUAAGGCUUUUUCUCUCCUACCAAUUCCAUGGACUAUGAAAAUAUAUAACAGCUGGCUCUAUAAUCUGUUCAAUGAAUUUCAACCUCAUCUGUGAUUAAUAAUCAUCUUUGGUUUGCUCCACAAAUAUCUGAGUGCCAGACUCCAUGAUACAUAUGGUAAAUAAAGUAAGUAUGAUCCCUGUCCUCA